CCCCCUUUUUGAUGAUGACAAAACACUGAGUAUAUGCAAAAUUUAAAAUUUAAACAUAUACACAGUAUUUGAUCAGAUGUACAAGUAUUGUGUUUUAGUUAGAGCUAGAUACAGUAUGCAUAAUUCAAUAUAGUCAACUGUCAGUUUUAUCCUUAUGCAUAAGUAUUGAUCUUAGUAGCUCUUGGAGCAAUUUUGGCAUAUCAUCUAUCACUUUUAGAUUUGAAUCAAGUUAAAGUGUAAAUUAAUGAAAUAUUGAUGCUAACAACAAUUAAAAACCAAAUACUUUUGACUCCCCAUUUCUUUUCCAGAAGGACAAUUGUCUUAAAGCCAAUAUUCUUCAAUUUUAUCUUUUCAUUUUGUUGAUUCUAAUAAAACUUUCAAGUAUGAGUUUAAAUUUUGCAUUUUGCAUUCCAUAUUGGUUCUACUCCUCCUUUUUGUCAUCAACAAUGAAGGGGACAAAUUUUCCUUAGGUGCCUAAAACACGAUGCCUAUUAGAAUUCAGCAUUCAUAUUACCAUGCAAUAUCCAAUGACUUGGGAAGGUGAAAUCUACUCUCCCUUUGUUUUGGAAUUCAUUUCAGACCUUUUAAAUGUAGUUAUUACAAGUUGUGCUCCCCCUGUUUCAUAUGCAUUGUCAAGUUGGAAAAAN
rnacentral:lncRNA from 1 species